rnacentral:rRNA from 1 species
GAUGAACGCUGGCGGCGUGCCUAAUACAUGCAAGUCGAGCGAACGGACGAGAAGCUUGCUUCUCUGAUGUUAGCGGCGGACGGGUGAGUAACACGUGGAUAACCUACCUAUAAGACUGGGAUAACUUCGGGAAACCGGAGCUAAUACCGGAUGAUAUUUUGAACCGCAUGGUUCAAAAGUGAAAGACGGUCUUGCUGUCACUUAUAGAUGGAUCCGCGCUGCAUUAGCUAGUUGGUAAGGUAACGGCUUACCAAGGCAACGAUGCAUAGCCGACCUGAGAGGGUGAUCGGCCACACUGGAACUGAGACACGGUCCAGAAUCCUACGGGAGGCAGCAGUAGGGAAUCUUCCGCAAGGGGCGAAAGCCGGACGGAGCAACGCCGCGUGAGUGAAGAAGGGCUUCGGAUCGUAAAACUCUGUUAUUAGGGAAGAACAAAUGUGUAAGUAACGGUGCACAUCGUGACGGUACCAAAACAGAAAGCCACGGCUAACUACGU